GGGCGUAUAGCUCAGUUGGUAGAGCAGGCGUCUUAUACACGCCGGGUCGUAGGUUCGAGUCCUACUACGCCCA
rnacentral:tRNA from 2 species